AUUGAACGCUGGCGGCAGGCCUAACACAUGCAAGUCGAACGAGUGGCGGACGGGUGAGUAAUGUCUGGGAAACUGCCUGAUGGAUGGGGAUAACUACUGGAAACUGUAGCUAAUACCGCAUACCCUCGGAUGUGCCCAGAUGGGAUUAGCUAGUAGGUGGGGUAAAGGCUCACCUAGGCGACGAGCCCUAGCUGGUCUGAGAGGAUGGCCAGCCACAGGGGAACUGAGACACGGUCCAGACUCCUACGGGAGUCAGCAGUGGGGAAUAUUGCACAAUGGGCGCAAGCCUGAUGCAGCCAUGCCGCGUGUAUGAAGAAGGCCUUCGGGUUGUAAAGUACUUUCAGCGGGGAGGCGUUACCCGCAGAAGAAGCACCGGCUAACUCCGUGCUAGCAGCCGCGGUAAUUC
rnacentral:rRNA from 1 species